UAUUGCAAAAUAGUGUCUCAUCCUCUCUCUCCUACAUAGUGGUUUUUGGAGGAUAGUGUUUGAGGGUCUCAUGUAGCUAAGGCUAGCUUUCAACUUGCUUUGUAACCAAAGCUGGUCUCCAACUUCUGAUCCUCCUGCUUCCACUUUCAGAGUGCUAGGAUUACAGAUGUACACCACUGUCUAGUUUAUGUGGUGCUGUAGAUGGAAACUAGGGCUUUGUGCAUAAUAGGAAAACACUCAACCAAGUCUAUCCUCACUCCAACAAGUAUUUUUUGAUAAUCAAAGCUUGGAUUUUUAAGCAGGUAUAUUUUUUCUUUUAGUUCACGUUACUUGAGUAUCAUUUUCAUGGAAUUUCUAAGUUAAAAAGUAUUCAUCAGCUUAAUUUGGGCAGCUUUUAAGAUAGAUAUACCUUACACGAUAAAUGCCUUUUUAGAAAGAUCAAGGCUAGCCUGGUCUACAUAGUGAGUUCCGGGACAACCACCACCACCACCACCCUAAAAGGAAGAAAGGCAUUUGUUCAGGAAAAAAAAGUUUUAAUGUUGAGUUAGGUGGGUAUGGGAUAUAGAAUCAGAGGACUUAAUGUGGUUAUAAAAUGUGUGAGGAUAGAGAUUUUUGCACUGUUUAAUUACCUUUUGUACAAAUUCAAAAGGUUCACGUUUUAACUCAUUAGGAAAAAUACUUUAGCUUUAUUUUAUAGUGAUUUAACAAUGUGUUAAAACUGCUCAUGCUUCCCACUUAUAGAGCAUUAGUUCAAAACUUAAAGCCAUGUAGAUAGCCUAUUUGCUGCUUCAAAUUUCUAGCUGCACCUGCCAUUUCAGCACUUUGAAAGGUGUUUUUAAGUCAGUUUUACUUUCCUAGUGAUCUUGGUGCCUGCUUAAUUUAUUACACUUAAUGAAGUGUAAUAACUGGCUCGUGUUGAUUUUGACUCACUUAAGGUACAUUAAAUGUGUAUCAAAUAAUUGAGACUCCAAUGUUUUGGUUACAGUCUGAAAAAUCUAGAGGCAUUGCAAAAUCAUGUAAAGAAGAUACAGUUAAAAGUCACUUCACUUGGCAAAGACAGGAUGCUACUAUGCUUCCUGCUCCGUGGAGUUGACAUCCAUAGGCAUGGCCCAGUAGUACUUGCUGUGAUAACUAAGUCUCUAUUAGUACUCUUUAUUACUAUCAUGUAAAAAUAACAGCCUCCUCCAGACAAACCCCUAUCUCCGUGCUAUGAAAUUCUAGCAAAUACUGCCAGCUGCUAUGUAUUUGUCUUCCUCCCACUAAUAGACUCCUGAUUAUCUUUCCCUACCAAUGUAUAAACUCACCGAGGUAGAGGAUUUGUUUGUCUACUCUUCUGUAUGCCUAAGAAAUUAUUUGGUCAGUUAUUCUGUACAGUGAAUAUUUGUAGAAUAAACAGAUUUCUGUUUCUUUUGAGGUUUGCAAAGCUUCUGGAAGGUAGACCAUAGAUUAUCAUUUACCUGGUUGCACUGGGGACAUGGACUAGUGUUUGUGCUUUCUGGGUGAGGGAGAGGGUCAGAGAAGCGAAUUAAUCCAGCACUCUUUCUGAAUACGCAGAUUAAAUUGUUAGAUGUGGGAAGUCCUUUGAUUCCCUGCUUAUAGGGGCUUGGACAGUACAGUGAUCUGGGCACAGGAAAGAGCCUUUACUGGUUCCACUCUUCCUUCCUGGAACUCACAAGCAGGGAGAUGGGCAUCACCUCUGAAUCCAUAUAUAUUUAUAUCAUAUGAGCACAUCUAUCAAGUACAGUGUUCACAUUGUGCAAGAUAGGAAAUAGAUUCCUGACAUUUAUUUAACAGAGAAAAGGAUGCCUCUGACUGAUUUAAAUAAAACAGUCUUGUUUUGUUGUGGUUUUUACUGUAUAGCUCAAGCCAGCUUGGAACUUUCAAUAAUUCUCCCUCUGCCUCCCAAGUGUUUACAUUAUAGGCUUGUAACAGAUUUGGUUUGUUCUGAUUUUUUUUUUAAGUGUAAAAUAUUUUUGGACAUAAAUGUAAAAGUUCUAGUAUUUCCAACUCCCCAGCUCUGAGAAGAAACAUGCAUCAUUUGCCUGGGACUUUGUUAGCAGAUUAGAUGAUUUUCAGACAGUGCUUUCUUUAAAAAAAAAAAAAAAGGUUCAGUGACUAAGGUGAAAUAUGUUAGUGGGUAGGGCGAGAGGACAAAGUAGGUACAGUGAAGAUUCAUGUUAGUGUUUUAGGAAGGCUAGGGAAAACCCAAAAUACAGCACUCAGGACAGAAAACUACAAGUACCCAGGAUGGGUUGGUGGUUUAUCAACUCCUUAGCUACUUGUGAACUUUCACUAGGUUAAAUGAUAACUAGGGUGACAUAAUUUUUGUCCCAAUUGGUUCACUUGUGAGGGAGAAUACAGCAUAGGGACAGGUAGAAACCAGGACACUUGGUUAUUCACAUUUUAGAACAUGGUUUUCUCUAAAUUGACCCAGUUCCACAUACAUCUUCAGACACUUCUAAAAGUUUUACAGUACUCUUGUCUGUGUUUGCAGAGCUUCUCAAACUCUGCUUCCCUUUUAUUGGUCUUGUUGGGAUUUGGGAGAAUUCUUUCUAAAUUGAAAGAAUUUCUACAUGCCACCCCUGCAAUAUUCCAGUUUAGAGCUCUGGUGGAGGAGAGAUUGUAAUUCUGAAACUUCAGAUCUUCAAAGAAGAGAGGAAAACACCUUUUGCUUUACCAUGAUUUAUUAUUAUUUGAUCUUAUAUCACUUUAAUGCUUUCAUUUUGGUUUCCUGUUCAAUUUAAAUAAAUACUUUUAAAUUCUUAAAUUAA